AGUGAACGCUGGCGGUAGGCCUAACACAUGCAAGUCGAACGGCAGCACAGUAAGAGCUUGCUCUUACGGGUGGCGAGUGGCGGACGGGUGAGGAAUACAUCGGAAUCUACUUUUUCGUGGGGGAUAACGUAGGGAAAUUUACGCUAAUACCGCAUACGACCUACGGGUGAAAGCAGGGGAUCUUCGGACCUUGCGCGAUUGAAUGAGCCGAUGUCGGAUUAGCUAGUUGGCGGGGUAAAGGCCCACCAAGGCGACGAUCCGUAGCUGGUCUGAGAGGAUGAUCAGCCACACUGGAACUGAGACACGGUCCAGACUCCUACGGGAGGCAGCAGUGGGGAAUAUUGGACAAUGGGCGCAAGCCUGAUCCAGCCAUACCGCGUGGGUGAAGAAGGCCUUCGGGUUGUAAAGCCCUUUUGUUGGGAAAGAAAAGCAGCAGGUUAAUACCCCGCUGUUCUGACGGUACCUAAAGAAUAAGCACCGGCUAACUUCGUG
rnacentral:rRNA from 1 species